rnacentral:rRNA from 1 species
AACGAACGCUGGCGGCAUGCUUAACACAUGCAAGUCGAACGGGGUACAUGUGCUUGCACAUGUACUUAGGUGGCAGACGGGUGAGUAACGCGUGGGAACGUACCUUUUGGUUCAGGACAACGGCUGGAAACGGUCGCUAAUACUGAAUACGCCCUUAGGGGGAAAGAUUUAUUGCCAAGAGAGCGGCCCGCGUUAGAUUAGGUAGUUGGUGGGGUAAUGGCUUACCAAGCCUGUGAUCUAUAGCUGGUUUGAGAGGAUGAUCAGCCACACUGGGACUGAGACGCGGCCCAGACUCCUACGGGAGGCAGCAGUGGGAAUAUUGGACAAGUGGGGCAACCCUGAUCCAGCGAUGCCGCGUGAGUGAU